UGGGGAAUAUUGGACAAUGGGCGAAAGCCUGACCCAGCAACGCCGCGUGAAGGAUGAAAUCCCUCGGGAUGUAAACUUCGCAAGAACAGGAAGAAUAAGUAAGGGUUAAUAUCCCUUACGAUGACGGUACUGUUUGUAAGCUCCGGCUAACUCCGUGCCAGCAGCCGCGGUAAUACGGGGGGAGCAAGCGUUGUUCGGAUUUACUGGGCGUAAAGGGCGCGUAGGCGGCCACUGCAAGUCGGUUGUGAAAUCUCCGGGCUUAACCCGGAAAGGUCAAUCGAUACUGCAGGGCUAGAGUGCAGAAGGGGCAACUGGAAUUCUCGGUGUAGCGGUGAAAUGCGUAGAUAUCGAGAGGAACACCUGCGGCGAAGGCGGGUUGCUGGGCUGACACUGACGCUGAAGCGCGAAAGCUAGGGGAGCAAA
rnacentral:rRNA from 1 species